GACGAACGCUGGCGGCGUGCUUAACACAUGCAAGUCGAGCGGAAAGGCCCUUCGGGGUACUCGAGCGGCGAACGGGUGAGUAACACGUGAGUAACCUGCCCCAGACUUUGGGAUAACCCUCGGAAACGGGGGCUAAUACCGGAUACGAUACAGCUUCGCAUGGGGUCUGUGUGGAAAGUUUUUCGGUUUGGGAUGGGCUCGCGGCCUAUCAGCUUGUUGGUGGGGUGAUGGCCUACCAAGGCGACGACGGGUAGCCGGCCUGAGAGGGCGACCGGCCACACUGGGACUGAGACACGGCCCAGACUCCUACGGGAGGCAGCAGUGGGGAAUAUUGCACAAUGGGCGGAAGCCUGAUGCAGCGACGCCGCGUGAGGGAUGACGGCCUUCGGGUUGUAAACCUCUUUCAGCAGGGACGAAGCGUAAGUGACGGUACCUGCAGAAGAAGCGCCGGCCAACUACGUG
rnacentral:rRNA from 1 species